GGAUGAGGUUGCGUCCCAUCAGCUAGUUGGUGUGGUAAAAGCGCACCAAGGCGAAGACGGGUAGGGGACCUGAGAGGGUGACCCCCCACACUGGGACUGAGACACGGCCCAGACUCCUACGGGAGGCAGCAGUAAGGAAUAUUGCACAAUGGGCGCAAGCCUGAUGCAGCGACGCCGCGUGGAGGAUGAAGGUUUUCGGAUCGUAAACUCCUUUUCUGCGUGACGAGAGUGGACGGUAGCGCAGGAAUAAGUCUCGGCUAACUACGUGCCAGCAGCCGCGGUAAAACGUAGGAGGCGAGCGUUAUCCGGAGUUACUGGGCGUAAAGCGCGUGCAGGCGGGUUGGUAAGUUACUUAUGAAAGCUCCUGGCUAAACUAGGAGAGGUUGAGUGAAACUGCCAGUCUAGAGUGGAUGAGAGGAAGAUAGAAUUCCGCGUGUAGUGGUGAAAUGCGUAGAUAUGCGGAGGAAUACCAGUGGCGAAGGCGAUCUUCUGGCAUCCAACUGACACUCAGACGCGAAAGCAUGGGUAGCGAACGGGAUUAGAAACCCCGGUAGUCCAUGCCGUAAACGAUGCACACUAGACGUUUGUUUUCCGAGAGGGAAAUGAGUGUCGAAGCUAACGCGAUAAGUGUGCCGCCUGGGGAGUACGGUCGCAAGGCUAAAACUCAAAGGAAUUGACGGGGGCCCGCACAAGCAGCGGAGCGUGUGGUUUAAUUCGAGGCUACGCGAAGAACCUUACCUGGGUUUGACAUGAUAGUAGUACGGAAGCGAAAGCGGAAGGACUCUUCGGAGAGCUAUCACAGGUGCUGCAUGGUUGUCGUCAGCUCGUGCCGUGAGGUGUUCGGUUAAGUCCGCAAACGAGCGCAACCCCUAUCGUCAGUUGCCAGCUUUGCCUUUUAGGGCGGAUGGGAACUCUGACGAGACUGCCGGCCAAAACCGGAGGAAGGUGGGGACGACGUCAAGUCCUCAUGGCCCUUAUGCCCAGGGCUACACACGUGCUACAAUGGCUGGUACAGACGGCCGCAAACUCGUGAGAGCAAGCUAAUCUCAAAAAACCAGUCUCAGUUCGGAUUGGAGUCUGCAACUCGACUCCAUGAAGCUGGAAUCGCUAGUAAUCGGAGAUCAGCACGCUCCGGUGAAUACGUUCCCGGGCCUUGUACACACCGCCCGUCACACCAUGGGAGUCGGUUGCUCCAGAAGUGGAUAUCCUAACCUUCGGGAGGGAGUUUACCAAGGAGUGAUCGGUGACUGGGGUG
rnacentral:rRNA from 1 species